rnacentral:lncRNA from 1 species
UUCCAUAUUCUUAUCCUCAGUUAUUUUCAAUUUUUUCUUCAAGUAUUUGUUUUCUUUUUCAACCAAAUUUAACUUCUCGACAAGAAUUUCUAUGUGGCUUGGAAUUUCCGGUUCACAUACCUCCUAGAUUAAAAAAUAUAUGUCACGUUGGUCGUCAUAAUUGUCAUAAACACUAAAUAAAACAAAUAGUUAUAAAAGAUAAUAUAUACCACAUCCGAAUCAUAGACAGGACGAGGGCGGCGUAUACCAAAACCAUCGCACUAUAUAAUAACAAAAAAUAAUGAAAGUGAGUAAUUUAUACAAGUACGUAUCUAAAUCAUACAAGUAAGAWUUUUUUUCUUUUAAAAAGAAGAUAAGAACAAGAGGCUCACACGGUGGUGCUCGCGACGAGAUCGGCGCGGGGCGAUCGACAAUGGUGAGGACGGGCACGGGACGACACCCUACGCAUGUGCAG